rnacentral:rRNA from 1 species
UACGGGGGAGGCAAGCGUUGUCCGGAAUUAUUGGGCGUAAAGAGCUCGUAGGUGGUAUAUUAAGUCAUUUGUGAAAACUUUAGGCUUAACUUAAAGAAUGCAAGUGAUACUGGUAUACUUGAGCACAGUAGAGGAAAAUGGAAUUCCUGGCGUAGCGGUGAAAUGCGCAGAUAUCAGGAAGAACACCAGUGGCGAAGGCGGUUUUCUGGGCUGUUGCUGACGCUGAGGAGCGAAAGCUAGGGGAGCGAACAGG